UAUUGGACAAUGGGGGCAACCCUGAUCCAGCCAUGCCGCGUGAAUGAAGAAGGCCUUAGGGUUGUAAAGUUCUUUCGCCUGGGAAGAUAAUGACAGUAGUAACAUAAGAAGGUCCGGCUAACUUUGUGCCAGCAGCCGCGGUGAUACAAAGGGGCCUAGCGUUGUUCGGAAUCACUGGGCGUAAAGGGCGCGUAGGCGGUUUUUUAAGUAGAGGGUUAAAUCCUUGAGCUCAACUCCAGAAUCGCAUUCUAUACUGGAAGUCUAGAGUCCGGGAGAGGAGAGUGGAAUUCCUAGUGUAGAGGUGAAAUUCGUAGAUAUUAGCAAGAACACCAAGGCGAAGGCGAAUCUCGGCCCAUACUACACUAGCACAAA
rnacentral:rRNA from 1 species